AUGCGUAGAUAUCGGGAGGAACACCAGUUGGCGAAGGCGGCCUCCUGGGCUGCUCCUGACGCUGAAGGCGAAAGCUAGGGUAGCGAACCGGGAUUAGAAACCCCGGUAGUCCUAGCUGUAAACGAUGGAUGCUGGGUUUGGGGGGUGUAGAUUCCCUCCGUGCCGAAGCUAACGCGUUAAGCAUCCCGCCUGGGGACUACGGCCGCAAGGCUAAAACUCAAACGAAUUGACGGGGACCCGCACAAGCAGCGGAGCGUGUGGUUUAAUUCGAUGCUACACGAAGAACCUUACCUGGGCUUGACAUAUAAGUGGUAGCGAAGCGAAAGCGGAGCGACCCUUCGGGGAGCUUAUACAGGUGCUGCAUGGCUGUCGUCAGCUCGUGCCGUGAGGUGUCGGGUUAAGUCCCGUAACGAGCGCAACCCUUGCCCUUAGUUAUACGUGUCUAAGGGGACUGCCCGGGACAACUGGGAGGAAGGUGGGGAUGACGUCAAGUCAGCAUGGCCUUUAUGUCCAGGGCUACACACACGCUACAAUGGCCGGUACAAUGGGUUGCCAAGCCGUGAGGCGGAGCCAAUCCCCCAAAGCCGGUCUCAGUUCGAAUUGUGGGCUGCAACUCGCCCACAUGAAGCUGGAGUUGCUAGUAACCGCAGGUCAGCAAUACUGCGGUGAAUACGUUCCCGGGUCUUGUACACACCGCCCGUCACGUCAUGGAAGCUGGCAACACCUGAAGCCGGUGAGCCAACCCGCAAGGGAGGCAGCUGUCGAAGGUGGGGCUGUAAC
rnacentral:rRNA from 1 species